UAAACCAGGAUUAGAUACCCUAUUAUAUUUAAGCGAAGGUUCUGAGGGAAAGUAGUUGUUAUAGUCUUGAAACCCAAAAGGUAUGGCGGUAUUUAGUUGAAUCAGAGGAACCUGCCCAAUAAGCGAUACCCCUCGUUAUAUCUUACCUUUUUUAGGUUUGUAUACCAUCGUCUAAGCUAUAUUUAUAAAUCUAAGAGCUAAAAGUAGGGAUAAUAAAUUCAGAUCCAGGCGCAGCUUUAAAAGGUUGAGGUGGGUUACAUUUAAACUCUUAAUGGAGAGAGGGAGGAAACUCCUUUGAAAAGCGGA
rnacentral:rRNA from 1 species